GUGGGAGACAGCCAUGGAAGAGGGUUUGGAGCUGGUAUUCCAUAUUUUGGCUUCAACUAAAGAAAUGGGAGAAGCUCCUAAUAUUAAAGGGAAGGAACCAACAGAGUAGACAAAGCUUUGAGUAAGGUAUUCUGGUUCUUAGGUUGAGCGUGGUGAUUGAAGGGAUACAGCCAGAUCUGUUGCCAUUUGCGAGACUUCUUUUUUCGUAGGAUCAUGUAUUUUCCAAGGGUAUUAGGACGUUGUUGGAUAUCGACGCUUUUAAAACCAUUAAUUUGUACUUGAAACGUUAUGUUGGAUACUGCCAAUGUUGAUUAGUAGCCUCAUUGGCUUAUCUUUAUUUGUGAUUUAUAAAUAUUGUUAAGUA